rnacentral:rRNA from 1 species
AGUGAACGCUGGCGGUAGGCCUAACACAUGCAAGUCGAACUGCAGCACAGUAAGAGCUUGCUCUUACGGGUGGCGAGUGGCGGAAGGGGGAGGACUACAUCGGACUCCACUUUUUCGCGGGGGCUAACGCAGGGAAACUUACGCUAAUACCGCAUACGACCUACGGGUGAUAUCUGCGCUGCUUCGGACCUUUCGCGAUCGUUUGAUCGGAUGUCGGAUUAGAUCGUUGGCGGGGUAAAGGCCCACCAAGGCGACGAACCGUAGCUGGUCUGAGAGGAUGAGCAGCCGCACUGGGAGUGUGACACGGUCCAAGCUCCUAGGGAAGGCAGCAGUGGGGAAUAGUGGAGCAUGGGUGCAAGCUUGAUCCAGACAGACCGAGUGGGUGAAGAAGGCCUUCGGGUUGUAAAGCCCUUUUUUUGGGAAAGAAAAGCAGCAGGAUAAGACCCCGCUGUACUGACGGUACCAACAGAAUAAGCACCGGCUAACUUCGUG